CUUUACGCUACGCGGCACCCCUUUACUUGCAUGUCGAGCGCCGCAUGAUCUGCUUGCUCCUUUUGCGUUCGCGGGGGACGGGGGAGUAUCACGCAGGUAACCUUCCCCUGUGACUGGGAUAACUUCGGGAAACCGGAGCUUAUACCGGAUAAUAUUCCGAAGGGGAUGGUGGGGUACCGAAAGGUGGCUUUGCUUUCGCUUGUCCAUGGUCCUGCUCCGUAUUUGGUGGUGGGUAGGGUCACGGCUUACCAAGGCAACAAUUCGUCUCCGACGUGAGAGGGUGAUCGGCCACACUGGAACUGAGACACACUCCCACACUCCUACGGGAGGCAGGAAUUUUGGAUCUUCCGCAAUGGCCUGAUCCCUGACGCAGCAACGUGUGAAUGAGUGAUUAAGGUCUUCAGAUCCUUAAACUCUGUUAUUAAGGAAUAACAAACAUGCCUGGACUGUGCACGUCUUGACGGUACCUAGGACCGGCUAACUACGAACUACGUGCCAGCAGCCGCGGUAAUACCCAGGUGGCAUCGUUAUCCUGAAUUAUUGGCCGUAAAGCGCGCGUUGUGCAUAUUUAAGUCUGUCCCAAGCUCACUUGUGACCGUGUUGGGGAUUGCAAACUGGAAACUUGAGAGGGGAGAGAAUUCGCAUUCCUGUGUAACGGUGAAAUGUGAGAGAUUGCCGAACCCAAG
rnacentral:rRNA from 1 species